rnacentral:lncRNA from 1 species
GUUAUGUGGUGCUGAGGAUUGAACCCAGGGCCUCACAUGUGCUAGACGAGCACUCUACUGCUGAGCCAUAACUCCAGCCCGUGCCAAAUGGUUUUUUGAAGUGGUUCUACCAACUUAACAUUCCCACCAAGCAACGGUUCCACAUCCUUGUCAGCACUGGUCUUCUUGAUUUUAGCCAUUGUGAUGAUACCCAGGAAUUUGAACCCAGUGAUCCUGACUUCAAAUCACAGGCCCACUUAUUCUCAAUACCCCUAAUAUCAGGUUUGAAUUUCUCUAGGCUUGGAUUACAUCACAUGUUAGUGGGCAGGACCCAUAAUACAGCCUGCAGACAUCAGAGGGAGCUCUUGCCCAUGGUUCUAGAAGCCAGUGAAGGUCUCAGAGAAGUAUCAUCCCUGAAGAGGCAGUCUGGUGCAAUGGCAAGUUCAGGCUCUCAAACCAGGCAGCCAGGGUUCAGGUCCCAGCACCCACUUUCCAAAGCCAUGCAUACCUGGGUUAGUCAACUUCUACUUCAGAGUGAAACAUGAGUACCUAUGGAUUAUUAUAAGAAAUUUAAAAGUUAAAUAUGAGCCACACCUGGUGGCAUGCACCUGUAAUCCUGACUCAGGAAGCUAAGGCAAAGAAUCAAGUUCAAGUCCAGCCUCAACAACUUAAUGCAAGAUUCUGUCUCAAAAAUCAGAAAGAGCUAGGGAUAUAGCUUAAUGGUGGGGCAUCCCUCAGGUAAACCCUCAGUGCCACCAAAACAAACAACAACAAAAAUGAAGUCUUUAUAAACACCUGACAUGUGACAAAUACCAUAUAAUUGACAGCUAAUGUCAUUUUUAUUGUUGGCCUAAAGUAAGC